UACGACUCUCGGCAACGGAUAUCUCGGCUCUCGCAUCGAUGAAGAACGUAGCGAAAUGCGAUACUUGGUGUGAAUUGCAGAAUCCCGUGAACCAUCGAGUCUUUGAACGCAAGUUGCGCCCAAAGCCGUUAGGCCGAGGGCACGUCUGCCUGGGCGUCACGC
rnacentral:rRNA from 1 species